CUGCUGCCUCCCGUAGGAGUCUGGGCCGUAUCUCAGUCCCAAUGUGGCCGGCCAACCUCUCAGUCCGGCUACUGAUCGUCGCCUUGGUGGGCCGUUACCUCACCAACUAGCUAAUCAGACGCGAGGCCAUCUUCCAGCGAUAAAUCUUUGACAUUCAAACCAUGCGAUUCAAAUGCAUCAUGCGGUAUUAGCAGUCGUUUCCAACUGUUGUCCCCCUCUGGAAGGCAGGUUCCUCACGUCCG
rnacentral:rRNA from 1 species